AUGCUGUUAUUUCUGACAAUUUUUCGUCUAUGUAUGCCCGGUGAUACAAUUUUCUCCCCCUGUAUCUCCAAUGGGUUCUAUUGCCUAGUUGUUCUGUCAGGACAACAGAGUUCUGUCUCUGAUGUUUUGAAUUUUUGCUUCACGGUUCAUUGUAGUUUCAAUAGUAUCUUUGCGGCAGUUGUGGAUCAUCUUCCAAGUUUAUCUUCACGGUUCAUCUGUCGCCCUGUCAGCCUUUGUAAUUUGCGCCUAUGUUCUGUUACAGUACCUGAUGAUGUUAACUGUAACUCCCUUUCCUUAGACCUGUAA
rnacentral:rRNA from 1 species